rnacentral:tRNA from 1 species
GCUGGCGUAGCUCAGUGGUAGAGCAGCUGAUUUGUAAUCAGCAGGUCGGGGGUUCAAAUCCCUUCGCCAGCU